CCCUGCUAUUUGCCUCUCUUCACAGUGAAAUCUGACCGUGUAUUCCUUCUCCGUUUCCCGUGUUUUAACCAGUUGCUUGAUCCCUGAUGAGGACCUUCCCUUUUAUCACUGCCUACUUUGCUUAAGAGCCUUCGCUUAAGUGAAAGACAUGAAGCAUUAAGACUGAAUUGAGGUUAUUUUGAGAUCAUCCGAUUCCCUGCUAGAAGUUGCUGUGAGAUAUCAUCGCCCUGAACAACUUCACACAGAAUGGUCUGAAAGGUUUUUAUUUGGUGAUGGCAUGUUCAAGAACUUGGAUCAAUACAUUGAAUUUAAUGUUAGGAGAUGGUUUUAAAGUUUUCAUAUUUAUAAAAGUGACUUUCAGUCUAGAGCAUCCCAAUGUACUUUCAAACGGUAUAUACAUACUCACAACACUGCACAGAUGCACAGCAAAUCAGCCACCUCUGGGGUGAGAGGGCAACCAUGAGCUGCCAUGUUGACCUAUAGGUGAGCUUUUGGUGAAGGACCUGGGGCAAACUUGAGUUUUACCUGUUGUGCCAUGCAAUGUGUUAACAGCAUGCAGAGCAGACAGGACCUCUUUUAUUUUACCAUCCCAUUCCAAAAACAGACACACAGUAAAUGGCCUGGUUCAUAGUUUAUCUUUCUCAGAAACAGGAAGAGCCGAGCCAUCUCUGCCCUGCACCAGUUUAGUAUGAGGUCCAGGUUUAGUGAAAGGUCCAGGAUGAUUUGAGUGAAAUUAAACAAAAGAGAAGUUUGUGCUCCAAUCCUUACAAGCCCAGGCCAGGUUAGGAUGUGUAGGGGCUCUAUCCUCACAGCAGCGAAGUCAGCCACUAGAAGCUUUGGGUGGAAUUCCAGCCCUGUGGAAGUCAAUGGGAGUUUUGCCAUUGAUUUCAGUAGGGCAGGAUUUCACGCCUCCAGUCCACAAGCUUUUAAGCACGUUGCUCAUUAACCUCACGUUUAAGACUAUCCCUAUUCAGCCAAGCGCUGCGGGUAUGUCUGCACUGCGGUCUUGGGGCAUGAUUGCAGUUUAUGUAGACAUACCCAAGCUAGCUUUAAUUUAGGUACUGGAUCAGUGAACCCACGAUAGCACGAGCUUUACAAGCCUGCCUGGAACCCUGACUAAUUACUCUGGCAGCUAGCAGAAGCCCACACCACGCUUUAAUUCUCCUAGCUGCACUUCAGUGUCGCUCGGGUGUGUCUGCGUGAGCUGCAAUCACACUUGAUAAUUGCAGUGUAGACAUAUUCUUAAUCACAUGCUUAACAGCUUUGCUGGGACAGGACCAGAAUCAGUGCAAUAGUUGUCACAUGCAAAGUAACUUCUGGUGUAAUGCUGAAUCCCUACCACAUUGCAAGUGGAAAUUAUGUGAGUGCAGGCGGGAAAAUGAACUUCAUGAAGGUUGAUUUUAGGGUUCCUGCGCUGUGCUCAAGUGUCAUGUGCCAUGAACAGCAUCGUUCUCACUGCACAGGAUAGAUAGGCCUGUGUAGUAAAGAUGAGGAGAAAACAGAAACAAGCCCUGUGUGCAUGUAUUGUAGGGGUGUGAUUCUUCCUCUGUUUUAGCCUCUCUCCCUCUCCAUAGAACUCUUCUUUUUUAAGCAACUUUUCUUUUAAAAAGCCUAUUAAAGGCUGCUUUGAUAUUUGAGUUUUGUUCAGCUGUAUAUAAGAAAUGCAUACGGUCUGCUGCCAUAUAGCCCUGCCCAGGUGCAAACUGCUAUGAGAUUCUGAAGGGGCAGAUAGUCAUUGCUGAGCCUUAUAAAAAAGACAGCUCAAUUAAAAGUGGAAGUAGUUGGGGAGGGAUAGCUCAGCGGUUUGAGCAUUGGCUUGCUAAACCCAGGGUCAUGAGUUCAAUCCUUGAGAGG